CUAAUCUGUCAAGAGAGAACAGUGCAACAAUUAAAAAAAUUAUGGACUAAUUUGAAGCAAACUCAAAGGGAAGUUUUAACUAAAAAAAAGCAAUCACGCGACUAGCAACUAGUGGAAGACCAGAAGAUAUAGAGGCAAGUGUGGACCCCGAUAUUCUUAAUAUUGCACCGCAUCUUAUGGAAAAUGCACCAGUGCUGUUCUCAUCAAACAUGACAGAAACUGAAAUUAAAGGUAAGUCUGAAAUUAAUUAUGUUGAACCAAAGUAAGUUAAGCAUACCUUUGAACUAAAGUAUCUUAAAAUGUGACGUAAUAGAACACUUUUAUAAAUAGUUUCGUUUUUAGCGACAAAAAAUCUGUAAGAAUCUUGUCUGGUUCGUGAUCUAAAAAAAGAAAUUAAAUUUGUCUGACAGUGAUAUUUAUUAAGUCUUAAUUAUAUUUAUUUUAGUUAUAUUUAUUGAUAUUAUUUUUAUUCUACAUAUAGAUUAUAUUUAUUAAUUAUAUCUAUUGAAUCUUUUCUGAUAUUAAUGUGUUUUAAUCUUAUUUAUUAACUUUAUGUAUGCAUUUUAGAAAAACGCGAGUUGGUAUUUAACAUAUCUGCAAAUGAAAAUGUAGAUAUUGUUGCGAACGUGAGCUUCGCGAGCGUGAGCUUUGCGCGCGUUGUGAGCGCAAGCUUAACGCGAAAAAUCAAUAUAUCGAUUGCUUCAGUCAGCUGAGUCUAUCGGCCCCGGCGUUGCUUAAUUAUGUAUAAACAAAUGGUUUUGUUUAGAACUUCCUGAGACGUCAACUCGUGCGGACGUGCUUGGAAUAGUUGUAAUCGUGUUCGCAGCUUUUAAUAAAGUUUCUCGUUUGCCAAAAGCGUGUUUUUAUUCCGCCGCGCUCGCGAGCGGAAGAGUGUGUGUUGGUGGAAAUGCGAGAGUGCUUCGGGAAGCGCAACAAUAUGUUAAACUGUUUGGCAAAUGAUGACAACGAUAUAAUUGUUGAUUUACAAGAUAAACACAAGUUUGCAGAUAUAAUAUCUACUAAUGAAAAUUUAAAAAGAGUAGUGCAAACGAGCAUUUGAUUAAUGAUGAGAGCGAUAUAAAAAUUGCUGAUUUACAAGAUACACCAACUUUGAAAACAUCAGAAACAGUCUACUCCAGAUUUACAACGAAAAAAGAGGAAAUGCAUAAAGCAAGACUUAUCGGAUACAGAAGAAAACUUAAGAAUUCAACGUAUUAAACUAGUGAUGGAGCAAGAGCAGCAUUUAGCGAUUGCCAAGUUAAGACAUAAAGAAAAUAUGGUCAAAAUUAAAGAAAAUCAUUUAAAACAAUUAAAUGAAAUUGAAAUACAUCAUAAAAACGAUAUAAAUAAAUUAGAAACAGAAAUUAAUCAAACUAAACUGAUAAUUUUAGAAAAACAAUAUUUAAACAAAGAAAAUAUUAAUUUAAGAUUGUAAGAUAUGAUAAGAGAUGCAUGUCGAUAAAAUUCAGCAAGAAUUAUACAUGUUGGAUACAUGGAUAUAUUUUUUUACAUUUUUAUGGUGUAUUUCAAUUUUAUUCAAUUGUUUUAAAUGAUGUAAUAAAAUAUAUAUGUUGGCAUAAAUAAAAGCAAAACUAAGUUUUGUGUGAUGUUAUCGUGCAAUGUUUUAUUUCAUAAAAAAAUUGAUUUUAAACAAUAUAACAUAAUACUUUAAAUAUAUAUAAACUAUGUUUCUAAUGAUAUUCUAUAAUUAAUGUUAACUUCAAUGAUGUUUCUAUUAUUUAUGUCCCAAUAAAUACGUUUUAUAAGUAACAAUUUGUCGCAAAAUUAACACAUUAUUUUUAUGAAAUAUGUAGCAAGUAUUGAAACAAAUAAAAGAAAUGUAAUAUGAA